CCUACGGGAGGCAGCAGUGGGGAAUCUUGCGCAAUGGGCGAAAGCCUGACGCAGCCAUGCCGCGUGAAUGAUGAAGGUCUUAGGAUUGUAAAAUUCUUUCACCGGGGACGAUAAUGACGGUACCCGGAGAAGAAGCCCCGGCUAACUUCGUGCCAGCAGCCGCGGUAAUACGAAGGGGGCUAGCGUUGCUCGGAAUUACUGGGCGUAAAGGGAGCGUAGGCGGAUAGUUUAGUCAGAGGUGAAAGCCCAGGGCUCAACCUUGGAAUUGCCUUUGAUACUGGCUAUCUUGAGUGUGGGAGAGGUAUGUGGAACUCCGAGUGUAGAGGUGAAAUUCGUAGAUAUUCGGAAGAACACCAGUGGCGAAGGCGACAUACUGGCCCAUUACUGACGCUGAGGCUCGAAAGCGUGGGGAGCAAACAGGAUUAGAUACCCUGGUAGUCCACGCUGUAAACGAUGAGUGCUAGUUGUCGGCAUGCAUGCAUGUCGGUGGACGCAGCUAACGACAUUAAGACACUCCGCCGUCGGGGUAGGUACGGUCGGCGAAGAAGUUAAACCGUACCAAUAGUAAGUUAGUACGGCGUGAGACGUGCCGACGGACGACGACGAGGGAGGAGG
rnacentral:rRNA from 1 species